AUUACUGUGUGUAUGUCCGGAAAGGAAGGAGUGUACUGAACUACUGAUCAAGCACUUCAGCAGAAUCGAUGGUAGCAUUGCUUCUACCUCACGAAAUUAGAUGGCUCUUUUGCGGUCUUUCCUCUCUAUCAUCUUAACUUGUUUCCUUUUGUUUCAUUAGCAACUUAUCAACUUAUGUAUUUCGGUUUGUAAAACUUGAAUGGUUUUUCUAUGUGAACUUUUAUCCUAAGUUAAACAUUCUCGAAC